GACGAACGCUGGCGGCGUGCUUAACACAUGCAAGUCGAGCGGUAAGGCCCUUUCGGGGGUACACGAGCGGCGAACGGGUGAGUAACACGUGGGUGACCUGCCUUUAGCUCUGGGAUAAGCCUGGGAAACUGGGUCUAAUACCGGAUAUGACCCUAUGGCGCAUGUUGUGGGGUGGAAAGCCUUGUGCGGCUAGGGAUGGGCCCGCGGCCUAUCAGCUUGUUGGUGGGGUGAUGGCCACCAAGGCGACGACGGGUAGCCGGCCUGAGAGGGCGACCGGCCACACUGGGACUGAGACACGGCCCAGACUCCUACGGGAGGCAGCAGUGGGGAAUCUUGCGCAAUGGGCGAAAGCCUGAUCCAGCAAUGCCGCGUGUGUGAAGAAGGCCUGCGGAUUGUAAAGCACUUUCAGUGGGGAAGAAAAGCUUGGUGUGAAUAGCGCCGAGUCUUGACGUUACCCAAAGAAGAAGCACCGGCUAACUCCGUGCC
rnacentral:rRNA from 1 species